UCUCCAGCCUGACCUCUCUUAUCGCGAGCAUCCAGUUGCGGUUCUCGAGGCGACUGAGCGCAAGACCCGUAACAAGUCUGUCAAGUUUCUCAAAGUGAAGUGGUCACACCAUUCCGAUAAAGAGGCUACGUGGGAACGCGAGGAUCACCUCCGUUCCGAAUUUCCCGAUUUCUUUCAGUCUUAGAUCUCGGGGUCGAGAUCUUCUUUGUAGUGUGGGAGAGUUUGUAAUGCCCCAAGUGUAGACUUUCCUUCUUGUAACCUUCCAUGUGGGGUCACCUUGUCAGAGAUCUUGGUGAUAUCAUUUUGUGCCAUGAAUUCAUGUGUGUUCCCUAGUGCUUACUUCCCUCGCAUGCAUGAAUUACAUAUCAUUCCUUGCCAUACUUAUGAUUGCAUGCCAUGAUCAUGUUGCAUUUGGGUUUGAUAGGAGUAGUGUUGUGGUGUGGUGAGAGCAUGUGAUCUUGCUAAGCUUAAGUGGUGGUUUUGCACUACCUCGUGAGCAUGUGAUAAUGGUGUGUGAUGCAAGAGGAGUGCUAG
rnacentral:lncRNA from 1 species